rnacentral:rRNA from 1 species
CUAUUAUAUAAAAAUUUUGAUGAAUAUUUAUAUAAUAUUAACAUAAUUCAUAUUACUAUAUAUUUUAGUAUAUGAAAUUUUACUUUGAGAAAAUUAGAGUGCUUAAAGCAGGCAUAUGCCUUGAAUACUCCAGCAUGGAAUAAUAUUAAAGAUUUUUAUCUUUCUUAUUGGUUCUAAGAUAAGAAUAAUGAUUAAUAGGGACAGUUGGGGGCAUUUGUAUUUAACAGUCAGAGGUGAAAUUCUUAGAUUUGUUAAAGACAAACUAAUGCGAAAGCAUUUGCCAAGGAUGUUUUCAUUAAUCAAGAACGAAAGUUAGGGGAUCGAAGACGAUCAGAUACCGUCGUAGUCUUAACCAUAAACUAUGCCAACUAGAGAUUGGAGGUUGUUCCUUACUUCUUCAGCACCUUAA